ACUAUUAUCAACCAUGACAUACACUCCAUUGCACUUCCACAUUUCGCUCGGUGGCAACAAGACUACGGGAAAGUGUUUGUUUACUGGCUAGGGAUAGAGCCGUUCGUGUACGUUGCGGAUCCUGAAUUCUUGAGUGUUAUGUCGAAAGGUGUAUUGGGGAAGAGUUGGGGGAAACCAAAUGUUUUCAAGAAAGACAGAGA